rnacentral:misc_RNA from 1 species
AAGUCGUAACAAGGUUUCCGUAGGUGAACCUGCGGAAGGAUCAUUAACACGUAUCCAACGUUAAACAACCCUGUGAACGCUCUUGUAGCCCACGCGGAACAGCAAUCCCGGUAAAUCAAUUGGAGAAAAUAAGGAUAACGCCUCACGGUUGCCAGAGGUCGAUCAGCCCUCAUUCACACCUUGCCCUAUCUGGCCCCACGGAUACGUUGGGGCACAAACCGAACAACUGUUAACAAUGGAUAUCUUGGUUCUC